AUCAUGUUUUAACUAUUGAAAAAAAGGAAUUAUAUUUAUUAUUCGUAUGAAUGAACGUAUGUAUACAUGUGUAUGUUAUUAAUACGACUGAGUGUAAACAGUUGAUUCAAUUUAUACUCAAUUCAAAGUCGAUUAGACAUAAACUUCUUCACGAAUUUUAAAGUUAAAAUUCAUUUUAUUUUAAAAUCCUCCAAAAUAUACGUAUGGAAUUUCAAGAACGAUUUGAGUUAAUUUUAUUUGAACACCUAUGCUAGAGUCGGCUGUACUUUAUCUACAUACACUAAGCAAAGAAUUCCAAAGUAGAGACCAUGCAUAUUGUUAUGUCUAUGUGUACCGAUCUAAGGAAAAUAAAAUAAGGUACUUUAGACCUAUGAAAAAUAACACCAGUAUAACAAUGACG